UCCGGCUUAAAACCGGCGGUCCCAUUAAAGUGCCCAGCUUAACCUGAUGGCAACUAAUGGUAAGGGUUGCGCUCGUUGCGGGACUUAACCCAACAUCUCACGACACGAGCUGACGACAGCCAUGCAGCACCUGUGUAUUCCCAACCGAAUUGAUGAACUAAAUCUCUCUAGUUCUCAAAAUACAUGUCAAGAGCGGGUAAGGUUCUGCGCGUUGCUUCGAAUUAAACCACAUAAUCCACCGCUUGUGCGGGUCCCCGUCAAUUCCUUUAAGUUUUAAUCUUGCGACCGUACUCCCCAGGCGGGAUAUUUAACGCGUGUGCUACGACACCGAGUCCGAACGGACCCGACAUCUAAUAUCCAUCGUUUACAGUGUGGACUAC
rnacentral:misc_RNA from 1 species